UACGUAGGGUGCAAGCGUUAAUCGGAAUUACUGGGCGUAAAGCGUGCGCAGGCGGUUAUGCAAGACAGAUGUGAAAUCCCCGGGCUCAACCUGGGAACUGCAUUUGUGACUGCAUAGCUAGAGUACGGUAGAGGGGGGAUGGAAUUCCACGUGUAGCAGUGAAAUGCGUAGAUAUGUGGAGGAACACCGAUGGCGAAGGCAAUCCCCUGGACCUGUACUGACGCUCAUGCACGAAAGCGUGGGGAGCAAACAGG
rnacentral:rRNA from 1 species